GUGCCAGCAGCCGCGGUAAUACGUAGGGGGCAAGCGUUGUCCGGAAUUAUUGGGCGUAAAGCGCGCGCAGGCGGCUUCUUAAGUCAGGUGUGAAAGCCCACGGCUCAACCGUGGGGGGCCACUUGAAACUGGGAAGCUUGAGUGCAGGAGAGGAGAGCGGAAUUCCACGUGUAGCGGUGAAAUGCGUAGAGAUGUGGAGGAACACCCGUGGCGAAGGCGGCUCUCUGGCCUGUAACUGACGCUGAGGCGCGAAAGCGUGGGGAGCGAACAGGAUUAGAUACCCGUGUAGUCCA
rnacentral:rRNA from 1 species